AGGAGGAAGUUCUUUUGGAGCAACUUAAGAAGUCCAAAAUACAGGAACAAAAGGCCCUGGUAGAGAAUGAGGCUCUGAGCAAAUAGGUGAGAUCAAAACCAUUUCUUCUAUACAAUAAUUUUUGCAUACAACAAAAAUCUAUUGCCUUCAUUUUUCAUGUUCAAAUCAUAAAAAGCUUGAUGAAAUACGGUGAACCUGCAAUUCACCUUUCCUCGAAUUCAACCCUUUGGAGAGGAAGUUUUUACUCUCAGGUUCAAAGUUGUUUCUACCUCUACAUCUGAGGAAAAUGAACGUUCAGACACUUCUUUGCAUUUGGGGUAUGCAUCAAUUUUGAAUGAGUUCAGUUAUUCCUAUCAUUCUUAGAUGUCUAUUUUCAAUUUUUUGUCCAAUGUUUUCCUACUUUCUUGGAUAUGAGAUAAGGAUUUAGGUAAGUUUUAUCCUAAUAUAAAAACUGUCAAGAAAACGGAAAAAGUUUCAUAUAUGCUCAUUGUUCUCAACUUGUUGGUAAUAACACUUCCAUCUGACUCAUUUUAGUGAGCUAUGUAGAACAAGUGCAAUGUGACUUGAUCGAGAAAUGAAUGUUGCUGCAAAUUACCUAGACCUUGCAGCAACAACCAAAUGCAGAAGCAUAGCAUUGGUUUUCUUUGUCAUGAGCUUGUGCUUGACAAUUGGACUUGUUUGAGGAUGUCAAUUCUAAUAUAUAUUAAUAGCUUUAAUCAAAUCUAGAAAUAUUUUUAAUCAAAAUUCAAUUUAAAAUUGGUCCUGACUCUUAAUUUGAUAUUUUCUUAUUUGUCUUUGACAUUUGUUUCUUAGAUUGUCCAUAGAUGUUUGUCGCAAGAGAAAAUCACAGAAGAUCGAUCACACAGGCAAUGACUCAGGGAGUCAAGCGGCUCUGGAGUGAUAUAUUUGUUAAGAAGUUAUUGUCUUGCAGUUAGAAGCUUUGUCUAGUUAGUUUCAACUAUAAAAUAGUUAAUUUUCUUCUUUUGACAAAUAGGGGUAGAUGACUUGAACUAAGUUGAGGUGUUUUUAGAUUUCUAUAAAUGCUAAUGCUAAUAAGGCAUUUCAACAAAAUUUUCAGUUCAUUUGAUGCGCUAGGGUGGUAAUGCAAAGUGCAAAUUACCCUAAUAUAAUGUGGAGAACUGAAAGAUUAAUAAAAAAGAAAAAGAAAUUGCCUUGAAUUUUGAUAUGAAAAA